AGGGGAAACCUGAUCAGUGACAGCACAGCAGGACCUUUCUCUUUCCCAAGAGGGUCAUUCUCAGGUUAUGGAAACACAGGCAUCAGAGAAGCCAGAGGUGGGAAAGGAGAGGUUCACCCAGAGACCAGCAGGGGGCACUGUGACACUGUGUCUGGGGCUUUCUGCAGGACAGGGGCAUCCAGCUGGGCAGUCCUCCACUGACAGAAAGCAUGGACUGGGCGCCUUGCGUCCAGUGGGGCCAAGGCAGGUGUGUCCGGUCAGGACCUGGAGGAGUCCCUGGACCUGGGGCCGUGUGUGGUCCCCACAGCUGCUGCCUCCAGGCCCACCCAGGGGAACCCAGAGCAUCAGGAAGUCUCCGUGUCCAAGGGUCACAGACCCUGUGUGUACACAUGGAGAAGAGGCAGGGGUGGGUCCCAUUUGCAUGAGCAGCCCCUCCUCUGUGACCCUGUGGACAGGGGAUAAGACAGGCCAGGGGCAGUCCAGCCCCAGUUCUGUGGCCUAAGAAGGGCGUCUCUGUGUGUCACCAUGGCCUGGAUCACCAUCCUCCUCGUGCUCCUCUGUCACUGCACAGGUUCCCUGUCCCAGCCUGUUGUGACUCAGCCAGCCUCCCUCUCUGCAUCUCUGGGAACCACAGCCAGACUCACCUGCACCCUGAGCAGGGACAUCAAUGUUGGAAGCUAUAACAUAUACUGGUACCAACAGAAGCCAGGGAGCCCUCCCCGGUAUCUCCUGUACUAGUACUCAGACUCAGAUAAGCACCAGGGCCCUGGCAUCCCCAGCCGCUUCUCUGGGUCCAAAGAUGCCUCGGCCAAUGCAGGGCUUCUGCUCAUCUCUGGGCUGCAGCCUGAGGACGAGGCUGACUAUUACUGUGCAAUCGGGCACAGUAGUGCUGGUCACAAUGACACGAACUCAUGGGGAGGUGGGACAAAUACCUCACCCUGCUCAGGUCCCUGCACUCUGACUCUCUUCCAGUUGAAAAUAACUUGAAUGCACACUGACUGUCUUUGGAAGUAGCUUCUAGGUCACAAUACACUUCCUCCUCCCAGCAUCCUAUUCAACCUCUUUCUACUGUCAGGAAAACAAACAAGCCAACAAACAAACAGGCAACAAAGAAACCCACGACAAUGCUGACAUUUUGUCUGGUGGUUAAAGUGUAAAACUCAGAGAGUGUUGAGCUGGCCCUUUUUCUCUUUACAAAGGCACAUCCACUGUCUUAGUUUUCUGGUCAGAGUCUGGACCAUCACAGCAGGUGGACAGUGCUCCAGAAUGUGCUCUGUUCCUCCAGGGGUUGGGGCAGAGGCUCCCUUCCCUCCAGGUUCCUGUGCUCAGAGCUGGCUGAACAGCAUGUGUUCCAGGUAGGAUGUACUAAAUAAGAUUGGUGCCGAGGGAGGACUCAGAACAGAAGAACUAGCAGGCACAGAGCUUGCUGGGCAACCAGGCUAGCUACUUGCCCCUGAAAUUGUGAUGUCAGGGGACAGUGAUUAGCCAGGGGAGAAAUUUCAGGUGUCAGCAAAACUCUCAGGAGUGCUUGUGAGGUAAGUUGCAGGGGCUCCAUCAUUGCUACAAAAUGCUGGGUCUGCUCUUGGGAAGGUGGGAAGUAGAUCCUGCAGAUGUGAAUAUACCAAAGCUGACACCAUCAGGGACUUUGGGUACCCCUGUGGCUGGUUUCCUGGACCCCCAGGCCCUGACUCUGUCCUCCUCUCUUCUCCUGUGACAUCAGGGCUCAUCAGUGAUCCAAGCAGCAGGGAGGCUGUGGGGCGACAGGGCAGGAGGUCCCCUAUCUGUGCACAAAGAAGUCCAGUCCUAUGUCUUUCCAGAAAGAAGUUCUUCCAUUUGUGACAAUAUGGACGAACCUGCCAGAUAUUACCCUAGGAGGAAUAAGCCCUACAGAGAAAGACAAAUGCUAUAUGAUCUCAUUUAUAUGUGGAAUUUACAAGAAAAAUAAUUUUAAAAAUUACUGUCAAGUUUUACUGAUGACGAUGAGUUAGAAUAGGGUACCACAUACCAGGACAAG